rnacentral:rRNA from 1 species
CACCAGACUCCUACGGGAGGCAGCAGUGAGGAAUAUUGGUCAAUGGGCGCGAGCCUGAACCAGCCAAGUCGCGUGAGGGAUGACGGUCCUACGGAUUGUAAACCUCUUUUGCCGGGGAGCAAGCGUGCGUUCGUGAACGCGCGUCGAGAGUACCCGGAGAAAAAGCAUCGGCUAACUCCGUGCCAGCAGCCGCGGCAAUACGGAGGAUGCGAGCGUUAUCCGGAUUUACUGGGUGUAAAGGGAGCGUAGACGGCAAUGCAAGCCAGAUGUGAAAACCCGCAGCUCAACUGGGGGAGUGCAUUUGGAACUGUGUAGCUGGAGUGCAGGAGAGGUAAGCGGAAUUCCUGGUGUAGCGGUGAAAUGCGUAGAUAUCAGGAGGAACACCAGUGGCGAAGGCGGCUUACUGGACUGUAACUGACGUUGAGGCUCGAAAGCGUGGGGAGCAAACAGGAUUAGAUACCCUGGUAAG